rnacentral:pre_miRNA from 1 species
UAUAAUUUUUGACUAUUCGUCUUAUUAAAUUAUUUUUACGAUUGAUAUUUUUGUUUUUAUUAGAUGAUAAAUCAUGAAUAGUACUUUACGUGUGACUAAUUUUUUUUAAUUUCCUGAAAAUUUUUCAAAUAAGAUGGAUUGUCAAAUGUUGAACACGGAAACC